AGCGAACGCUGGCGGCAGGCCUAACACAUGCAAGUCGAACGGAUCCUUCGGGAUUAGUGGCGGACGGGUGAGUAACACGUGGGAACGUGCCCUUUGGUUCGGAACAACUCAGGGACACUUGAGCUAAUACCGGAUGUGCCCUUCGGGGGGAAGAUUUAUCGCCAUUGGAGCGGCCCGCGUCUGAUUAGCUAGUUGGUGAGGUAAAGGCUCACCAAGGCGACGAUCAGUAGCUGGUCUGAGAGGAUGAUCAGCCACAUUGGGACUGAGACACGGCCCAAACUCCUACGGGAGGCAGCAGUGGGGAAUCUUGCGCAAUGGGCGAAAGCCUGACGCAGCCAUGCCGCGUGAAUGAUGAAGGUCUUAGGAUUGUAAAAUUCUUUCACCGGGGACGAUAAUGACGGUACCCGGAGAAGAAGCCCCGGCUAACUUCGUGCCAGCCGCCGCGGUAAUAC
rnacentral:rRNA from 1 species